UUUUUUUUGGUGCAGAUGCUUUGUAACGAACAUGCUAACUGAGAAAAGUAAUGUAUGCUUUGGUAUUGUUCUGUUAAGAAAGAUGUUUCCAGUCUGAAAUGCAAGCUUGAAGCUGUACAUGGCGUGCUGGAGGAUGCAGAAAAGAAACACUGAUUGAUGCUGGUGUUCAUCGUUGGCUGGAUGAGCUCAAAGAAGUUUCUUAUGACGUGGACAACGUGCUGGACAAGUGGAGCACUGAAAUUCUCAAACCCAAAAUUGUUAAACAAGCUGAAGGUGAAAACUCCGUAUUUUGAGUUGCCUGGAAUCGUUGCCCGAAGAGCAUUGUUGAUUAAUAUUUAGCAGACUUGGAAAGAAAUAGUGAAGAGUGCAACCAAUUAGAGGAAAUUGGGACGAAAAUUGCAACCAAGUUCAAUGGCCUGCCUCUUGUAGCAAGUAGUUUAGGAAGUUUAAUGUGUUUUAAGGAGACUAAAAAGGAUUGGGAGGAUGUUCUAUCUAGUAAAAUGUGGAAAAUGCAAGAUGCAAAUGUCAAACUUUUCACUCCAUUCUUGUUGAGUUAUUAUGACUUGCCUCCUCUGGAAAUGCGUUUUUUUUUUCAUAUUGUUCUGUAUUUCCAAAAGAUUAUGUGAUCGAUAGGGACAAGUUGAUUGAAAUGUGGAUGUCACAAGGUCAUCUAAGUAGCAAUGAAAAUCCAGAGAAAGGUCGAAAUUGUUUAAAAAUUCAACCAUGAGGUCUUUCUUUCAAGAUUUUGGAAAAGAUCAUGAUGGAAGCAUUUUGAAAUGCAAAAUACAUGACAUAUUACAUGAUUUUGCACAAUUUUUGACAAAAAAUGAAUGUUUCACUAUGAAAGUUGUUAAGGAGAAAACACAGACUCUUGGUGUUGUUGAAAACCAUCACUCUACAUUAUUAUUGACAUCUAAUUGCAUAUACCCUUUUCAUAAUGUGUUUAGACACUAGCUUAGGUAGUGGUAUGAUGUUCUUUCAACAAAAAUCUCCUCCUCUAAGAUGUCUUCGUACGCUAAAUUUGAGGGGAUGUCGAAUUAAAAAGCUUCCACAGCAGCUUGAGAUUUUGAGACUUGAAGAAUGCUACAGACUUCAAAGACUACCAGAAGGGAUGGGAAAACUAGUGAGUUAAAGACAUCUUCAUAUCGGUAGCGGGGGAUGAGUUGAGAGAUUGCCAGAAGGAUUACUAGACUAAUUCAUCUUCGCAUACCACACACGUUUGGGGAUACCAAAGGUGAAUGAAGGUGCAUAUCUUAGUCUAGGAGAUUUGAAAAGGUUGAAUCACCUCCAAUUUGAAAGCUAUUUUUGAAUAAGCGGGUGUGGAUAUCUGAAAAUUUUGAGAGAGAUUGAAGAAGCAGGGUUGGUGCAUAAGGAAAAUCUUGUAGAACUAUGUAUAAAUUUUGAGAAGAGCGUAGAACGAAAUUUGGAAGAUUCAUCUCAGAUACUUGAAGCCUUACAACCACAUCCAAGCUUGAAAUCCUUAAAGAAUCCACAGCUAUGAGGGUAUCAAUAUGUCUCCCAAAUGGCUGUUGUCAUUAGUUACUUUGAGAAAUCUCCACCUUGUAGGCUGCAGCCCCUGUGAGACUUUACCUCCUUUGGGAAGCCUACCUUCUCUUGAAGUACUUGCUGUAAGUCAAAUGUAUAAUGUGAGAAAGAUAGGCAGUGAGUUUUGGGGAAAUACCAAUACUAAUGAUAUGGUAACAAAAGAAGAAGACCAAGUCAUGGUAUCAUUCCCAAAAUUGAAACAACUUAGGAUUUAUUUCUUGCGUGAGUGGGAAGAAUGGGAAGGAGAUGAAACAACAAAUAUUGUUGUUUUGUUAAUCAUGCCUUGGCUUGAUUUCUUAGAAAUAUACCACUACAAGAGUUUGAAAUCACCACCGGAGUUUCUGAAAGGGACACCAAUGAAGACUUUGACUAUUGAUUGCUGUGACAUUUUAUUACAAUCUUUCCAAUAAUCAGAAGAGGAGUAGAGCAAGAUUUCACACAUCCCAAGCAUCAAUAUUGGUUACAACAAUGUGAAGAGAGAUGGCAUUUGGGUUAACUAACUUCCAGGAGAAUUUUUUCUUAAUGGCAAUGAAGAGCAGGGAAAUGAACAUGAAGCGCCAACUUCAUGUAGAAUGAAUAGUGUUGUGUAGGUUUUGCUUGUUCAUUUUGGGGCCACCGGGACAUAACAUUUUGAGGAGCUACUCAUUCAAGUGCACAUUCCCGGUUUCACCACCAUCCGAUCGGUAGAACAUGCAUUUGCAACACUGUAGAAGUAGUUGAAGGACAGCAUGCAGAGUGACGUUAAGAUGCAAAAGAUGAGGGAGGAUCUCAGCAGUCGAAAUCAUAACCAAAAGGUUGCAAGAGAGUUCUGAUGAUUGAUUAUAGAGGACAUGCGUGAGGGAUUGGGGUAACAAUUUCAACGAAUCAUUCAUCAUUGCUAAGGGCAUGCAUUUUCCAGCCCCUUCAUAUUUGUAACUUUUCCCCCCCCACAAUUUUUAGCUUUCCACCGACAUGGUAGAAACAGCCUUAUGUGUAUGUGGUGAAUUGGAAUGCAGGCAGAAUUUUGAAUAAAUGGAUGCUGAUUGAUUGUAAUGAAUUCUAGGCAUAUCUUAGAUGUAGUUUACUCUUUUGAAUAAAU